AGCCUUGUAUUCAUGAAUGAUUAUAGAAUGCAAUUCUGUAGGAGUAAUAAAUAAUUAAUAUUACUAAGGCUU
rnacentral:tRNA from 1 species